CUAACUUGCUGGUUCUCUUAGCUGUCACUAACAGCAGCUGAUGGAAAAGGGGCAUGUUUGAUGGGUGAUGUGCAAUAGCUGUCUUUGCACAAGAUCGUCGUUGGAUCUUGUAGGAUCUUCCAUACACCUAUUUUGUAGGUCCUGGGUGGCCACUAUGCAAGCAGAUAUGUCACCUUGUAGGCUCAGUAAGUGUGAAGCUGCUACCCUCCCC